rnacentral:lncRNA from 7 species
AGUGAGCACUGCUGCACCAGCUGCAGGCAAACGCCCACCAAAAAUGCUCCAGAAACAUCCCUGACAUCCGCAGAACAUCCCAUCCAUCUGCUCUGUGCCCCGGAGGGAGGACGGAGGCACGGAGGGCUCUGCACCCCAGGAACCUCGGGAACACUGCUGGCACCGCACGGAUGGCGGAGAUGGAGCACUGUGUGUGGUGGGUGCCUGUUGUCACCUCAGCUGUGACCCUGCUGCUCUACGCUCUGCUCCUGCUGCUGCUUUACAUCAUGCUCAGCAGGAAAAUAGGCAGGCAUUGCUGCAGUGCGCAGGUGAGCGGUGGUCCCGCAGCACAGCCCCAGCAGCUGCCCACAUCUACAGCUGGAGGGGAAGGGGUGCAACGACCGAACUAUACAGGGAGCAGCGAGACGUCUUCAGAGACCUCGGAGGACUCGGACAGCAGCUCUCUGCACCCGCAGGAAAGGAAAACCUGCUCAAAGGAAAACCUCAACUACACAUCCGUGCUGUUCCCAGGGAAGGGCCACGGGCAGGGCUCCAAUAGGAACUACGAGAACAUCAAGAUCGGCGCCGAUUACGUCAACGUGGACCCAAAAAAGAAGAAAGCUGAUUUCUGGACCUUCUCCGGCCCCGUGGCAUCCGCGUCCAUCGAAUACACGGAGGUGAAACCGUGACACUCCCUGGGGUCCCACUGCAGCCCUCACUCCGUGCCCAGGUCAGUGCUGGCACAGGGCUGCUGCCAUUCCCUGUGACGGCGCAGCUCCCCCAGGGAUCUCUCGGGGUCGGAGGCUGUGGGUGUGGGGUGAUAUGGGGCUGCCCCACACCUCCCCGUGGGGAAACGGUCCUUCUCAGACUGCCACAAGCUCUGCACGUGAGUGUGAACGCCGCUUUCUCAUCUUGUGAAAGCAAACGCUCCCCUGGCGGGAUGUGGGUCAGAGGGGGAAAUGCCAUCGUUCCCAAAACAUCUCCCCAUUGGGCUGGCAUCUCCUAUGAAUCAUGCUUCCUUUGCUGAUUGCUGUCAUAAAAACCUUUCAAAUACACU